rnacentral:rRNA from 1 species
UACGUAGGGCGCAAGCGUUGUCCGGAAUUAUGGUGGCGUAAAGAGCUCGUAGGCGGUCUGUCACGUCGGAAGUGAAAACCCGGGGCUUAACCCCGGGCUUGCUUUCGAUACGGGCAGACUAGAGUGUGGUAGGGGAGACUGGAAUUCCUGGUGUAGCGGUGAAAUGCGCAGAUAUCAGGAGGAACACCGGUGGCGAAGGCGGGUCUCUGGGCCACUACUGACGCUGAGGAGCGAAAGCGUGGGGAGCGAACAGG